GGGGAAUUUUGGACAAUGGGCGCAAGCCUGAUCCAGCAAUGCCGCGUGAGUGAAGAAGGCCUUCGGGUUGUAAAGCUCUUUCGUCAGGGAAGAAACGGCUGAGGCUAAUACCUUUGGCUAAUGACGGUACCUGACGAAUAAGCACCGGCUAACUACGUGCCAGCAGCCGCGGUAAUACGUAGGGUGCAAGCGUUAAUCGGAAUUACUGGGCGUAAAGCGUGCGCAGGCGGUUUUGUAAGUCUGACGUGAAAGCCCCGGGCUUAACCUGGGAAUUGCGUUGGAGACUGCAAGGCUUGAAUCUGGCAGAGGGGGGUAGAAUUCCACGUGUAGCAGUGAAAUGCGUAGAGAUGUGGAGGAAUACCGAUGGCGAAGGCAGCCCCCUGGGAUAACACUGACGCUCAUGCACGAAAGCGUGGGGAGCAAAC
rnacentral:rRNA from 1 species